CCUACGGGGGGCAGCAGUGGGGAAUAUUGCGCAAUGGGGGAAACCCUGACGCAGCAACGCCGCGUGAAGGAAGAAGGUCUUCGGAUUGUAAACUUCUUUGAUGAGGGACGAAGUAAGUGACGGUACCUCAAAAACAAGCCACGGCUAACUACGUGCCAGCAGCCGCGGUAAUACGUAGGUGGCGAGCGUUGUCCGGAAUUACUGGGUGUAAAGGGCGUGUAGGCGGGGAUGCAAGUCAGAUGUGAAAUACCGAGGCUUAACCUCGGUGCUGCUUCUAAAACUGAUGGACUUGAGUGUGGGAGAGGAUGAUGGAAUUCCUAGUGUAGCGGUGGAAUGCAUAGAUAUUAGGAGGAACACCAGAGGCGAAAGCGAUCGUCUGGCCCACAACUGACGCUGAGGCACGAAAGCGUGGGGAGCAAACAGGAUUAGAUACCCUAGUAGUCAC
rnacentral:rRNA from 1 species